CCCUUAGAUGUCCUGGGCCGCACGCGCGUUACACUGAUGCAUUCAACGAGCAUAUAACCUUGGCCGAGAGGCCUGGGUAAUCUUGUUAACAUGCAUCGUGAUAGGGAUAGAUUAUUGCAAUUAUUAAUCUUGAACGAGGAAUUCCUAGUAAUCGCAGUUCAUCAAACUGCAAUGAUUACGUCCCUGCCCUUUGUACACACCGCCCGUCGCACCUACCGAUUGAAUGGUCCGGUGAGGACUCGGGAUUGUGGUUUAGCUCCUUCAUUGGGGCCUGACUGCGAGAACUUGUCCGAACCUUAUCAUUUAGAGAAAGGUGAAGUCGUAACA
rnacentral:rRNA from 1 species